UACCCACUCCCGGCACGGGGAGGUAGUGACGAAAAAUAACAAUACAAGACUCACAUCCGAGGCCUUGUAAUUGGAAUGAGUACACUUUAAAUCCUUUAACAAGGAUCAAUUGGAGGGCAAGUCUGGUGCCAGCAGCCGCGGUAAUUCCAGCUCCAAUAGCGUAUAUUAAAGUUGUUGCGGUUAAAACGUUCGUAGUUGAACCUGUGUUUCGCACGGGCAGUACCUAAGACUAGGCAACUAGGACGGAAACGUUGUCUUAUCUUUCCUUAUCACCUGAUUUGGAAAAAGUGCGUGAACGUAUUAUCGGCGUGUUCGUUCUCUGGAACGUUCACAUAAGCCCAUCUCAGUGCUCUUAAAUGAGUGUUGUUGUGGGCCGAUACAAAUUACUUUGAACAAAUUAGAGUGCUUAAAGCAGGCUUGUAAUGCCUGAAUAUUUUGUGCAUGGAAUAAUGAAAUAGGACAUCUGUUCUACUUUCAUUGGUUUUUUAGACCAAGAUGUAAUGAUUAAUGGAAGCAGUUGGGGGCAUUAGUAUUACAACGCGAGAGGUGAAAUUCUUAGACCGUUGUAAGACUGACUAAAGCGAAAGCAUUUGCCAAAGAUGUUUUCAUUUAAUCAAGAACGAAAGUUAGAGGUUCGAAGGCGAUCAGAUACCGCCCUAGUUCUAACCAUAAACGAUGCCAGCUAGCAAUUGGAUGUAGCUACUACUAUGGCUCUUUCAGUCGCUUCUCGGGAAACCAAAGCUUUUGGGCUCCGGGGGAAGUAUGGUUGCAAAGCUGAAACUUAAAGGAAUUGACGGAAGGGCACCACCAGGAGUGGAGCCUGCGGCUUAAUUUGACUCAACACGGGAAAACUUACCAGGUCCGAACAUAAAUGAGUAAGACAGAUUGAUAGCUCUU
rnacentral:rRNA from 1 species